UACGGAGGUGGCAAGCGUUGCUCGGAAUCACUGGGCGUAAAGGGCGCGUAGGCGGGGAGGUAAGUCGGGUGUGAAAUCCCUCGGCCCAACCGAGGAACUGCGCCCGAGACUGCUUCUCUUGAGUCCUGGAGAGGAAGAUGGAAUUCCCGGUGUAGCGGUGAAAUGUGUAGAGAUCGGGAGGAACACCGGUGGCGAAGGCGGUCUUCUGGACGGUGACUGACGCUGAGGCGCGAAAGCGUGGGGAGCAAACGGG
rnacentral:rRNA from 1 species